GACGAACGCUGGCGGCGUGCCUAAUACAUGCAAGUCGUGCGGACCUUUUAAAAGCUUGCUUUUAAAAGGUUAGCGGCGGACGGGUGAGUAACACGUGGGCAACCUGCCUGUAAGACUGGGAUAACGCCGGGAAACCGGGGCUAAUACCAGAUCGUUUUUUCCUCCGCAUGGAGGAAAAAGGAAAGGCGGCUUCGGCUGCCACUUACAGAUGGGCCCGCGGCGCAUUAGCUAGUUGGCGGGGUAACGGCCCACCAAGGCAACGAUGCGUAGCCGACCUGAGAGGGUGAUCGGCCACAUUGGGACUGAGACACGGCCCAAACUCCUACGGGAGGCAGCAGUAGGGAAUCUUCCGCAAGGGACGAAAGUCUGACGGAGCAACGCCGCGUGAGUGAAGAAGGCCUUCGGGUCGUAAAACUCUGUUGCCGGGGAAGAACAAGUGCCGUUCGAACAGGGCGGCGCCUUGACGGUACCCGGCCAGAAAGCCACGGCUAACUACGUG
rnacentral:rRNA from 1 species